CUAAUGGCUGUGUUGCCCCUACAUGAGGAGAACCAGCUGAGACUGAAAGCAGCCCAGAGAAAAGCAGAAAAAGGAGAUGGCGUGACAAAGAUUUCUGGUGACAUCUUUUGAGUGGCUGGAUUCAACUGUGAAUUUUUCUAAUAAUGUCAAGGAAGAAAAAUGUGACUGAAAUUGGUCAUCUUGGACCCAGAGCUGAGAAAGCCCAUCUUCUCACACGUUGACUCCAUGGCAGACUCCCAGCCUCUUCCCCAGGCUUUUAUCACAACUGAACAUGCUUCCCGAAUGGCAACAAACUCUCCCAGGAAAAAGACAAGAAUGGUGGCGAAGAAAUGAUCGAACCAAGCUAGAAGCAACCUGAGGGCUUCAGGCGUCUCUCCCCAACUUAGGGCCUUACCUACUUGAGAGACUGAAAAUACAAAAGCACAAUGACCACAAGUAAGAAGAGAACUUCGACCCACGACCCGCAGCGCCCCCUUAUCUGCCCCCAACAGCCCAGGAGGCCAGGCCGCUAUUUCUAGCGGCAGUCCAGGGAGCUAAACAGGAACGUCUGUAACCGUCAGCCCCGAAUAGCCAGGACUCGGAUAAUAACUGACAGCCUCCCUAGUUGUCUUCCCUGAUUCCAACUUAGGACCAACCAGAGAAAGCCAAAUAUGUACCGGAACCAACCACACGGGACACUCCCUUCCUAGGACACUCUGCUUCUCCCACCUCCAGCUUCCCCAGGCCAAAGGCCUCCAGGCAGCACCCCCCCCCACCUCCAGCUUCUCUUUCCCACUGGAAAGCUUCCUCCGUCCUGCUUGCCUUUGAGUCUCCGCCAAAUGCAAGUGAUUCCCUGGCUCUGGC